GACGAACGCUGGCGGCGCGCCUAACACAUGCAAGUCGAACGGAGCCAAUAGAGCUUGCUUUUUAAGCUUAGUGGCGAACGGGUGAGUAACGCAUGAGUAACCUGCCCUAGAGUGGGGGACAACAGUUGGAAACGACUGCUAAUACCGCAUAAGCCCACGGUGCCGCAUGACACUGAAGGAAAAGGAUUUAUUCGCUUUAGGAUGGACUCGCGUCCAAUUAGCUAGUUGGUGAGGUAACGGCCCACCAAGGCGACGAUUGGUAGCCGGACUGAGAGGUUGAACGGCCACAUUGGGACUGACACACGGCCCAGACUCCUACGGGAGGCAGCAGUGGGGGAUAUUGCACAAUGGGGGAAACCCUGAUGCAGCGACGCCGCGUGGAGGAAGAAGGUUUUCGGAUUGUAAACUCCUGUCGUUAGGGACGAUAAUGACGGUACCUAACAAGAAAGCACCGGCUAACUACGUGCCAGCAGCCGCGGUAAAACGUAGGGUGCAAGCGUUGUCCGGAAUUACUGGGUGUAAAGGGAGCGCAGGCGGGAAGACAAGUUGGAAGUGAAAACCAUGGGCUCAACCCAUGAAUUGCUUUCAAAACUGUUUUUCUUGAGUAGUGCAGAGGUAGAUGGAAUUCCCGGUGUAGCGGUGGAAUGCGUAGAUAUCGGGAGGAACACCAGUGGCGAUGGCGGUCUACUGGGCACCAACUGACGCUGAGGCUCGAAAGCAUGGGUAGCAAACAGGAUUAGAUACCCUGGUAGUCCAUCCCGUAAACGAUGAUUACUAGGUGUUGGGGGAUUGACCCCCUCAGUGCCGCAGUUAACACAAUAAGUAAUCCACCUGGGGAGUACGACCGCAAGGUUGAAACCCAAAGGAAUUGACGGGGGCCCGCACAAGCAGUGGAGUAUGUGGUUUAAUUCGAAGCAACGCGAAGAACCUUACCAGGUCUUGACAUCGUGCGCAUAGUUAAGAGAUUAAUGAAAUCACUCUUUGAGUGACGUAUAGACAGGUGGUGCAUGGUUGUCGUCAGCUCGUGUCGUGAGAUGUUGGGUUAAGUCCCGCAACGAGCGCAACCCUUAUCAUUAGUUACUACGAAAGAGGACUCUAAUGAGACUGCCGUUGAGAAAACGGAGGAAGGUGGGGAUGACGUCAAAUCAUCAUGCCCCUUAUGACCUGGGCUACACACGUACUACAAUGGCUGUCACCAAAGUGAACCAAAUACGGGAGUAAGAGGGAAACACAAAAAACAGUCACAGUUCGGAUUGUAGGCUGCAACUCGCCUACAUGAAGCCGGAAUUGCUAGUAAUCGCGGAUCAGCAUGCCGCGGUGAAUACGUUCCCGGGCCU
rnacentral:rRNA from 1 species